GACGGAGGAUGCAAGUGUUAUCCGGAAUCACUGGGCGUAAAGCGUCUGUAGGUGGUUCAAUAAGUCAACUGUUAAAUCUUGAGGCUCAACUUCAAAAAUCGCAGUCGAAACUAUUGGACUCGAGUAUAGUAGGGGUAAAGGGAAUUUCCAGUGGAGCGGUGAAAUGCGUAGAGAUUGGAAAGAACACCAAUGGCGAAAGCACUUUACUGGGCUAUUACUGACACUGAGAGACGAAAGCUAGGGUAGCAAAUAGGG
rnacentral:rRNA from 1 species